AGGAGGCUAGUCUAAAAAAGACCUCUGAUUUCGGCUCAGAAAAUUAUGGUUAAAGUCCACAGCCCCCUU
rnacentral:tRNA from 1 species